GUCCGUGUGAUGGAAUUGGCAUACAUACUUGGCUAAGAACCAAGGUUCUGAGAGUUCGAAUCUCUCCACGGAUA
rnacentral:tRNA from 1 species